GGAUGUAAGGAUGAUCGGGCUUGCAACAUCUGUCACCCCACUGAUCACCAGGGUUGAUUUGGCUAAUCUGGCUGGCUAGAUGGGUGUCGCCUUCCUCCUUCAACUCUCCACAUUCUUUCCUCCCUAAGCUGCUCUAGGUCGAAGAGGACACCCUCCCCAGUAGAGGACUGGUCUUCAGUCAAGGAAAUACAAGUAGCUGCACUCCCUUAAACUUCCAAAUGAAAGAGAAUAAUUACUGCAGAGUCUACAUGGUAACCAAUAAUCUAAAGAAACAUGUCUGGAGGUGGCACACCCUAGCCUCCAAUAGCUGUACUUU
rnacentral:snRNA from 1 species